UGACAUUAGCGUUGUACUCGUGCAG
rnacentral:piRNA from 1 species